UUCAACAGUGUUUCUCAGAGCCCAGGACGGUUUCUGCAAUUCUUGACUGGGGCCGUGACUCCGGGGCUGUGACUGAGAUGUCAGAUGUGCAUAGAGGAUCGUAAAUUUCUGUUGUAUCUGGAUCCAGAUCAACAGGAGGAUCUAUGGGAAUUUGUUUUAAGGACUUAAC